ACUUGACGAAGAAGGGCUACGCCAUGUUACAUCCUGGCCAGAAACGUCGACUCUCUUGGGAUUUCAUCGUCUCCAUUGAGAAAGAUGUUCGUGGUGGGGGCUCAGAGCAGUGUGAAUAACUACUACUGACGUAACUCACAAAACAGAUGGACGUGACAUAUGAAGAGUGCUGAAUGUAUUUCUAUCCUAAUUUACAAUUACAUGUGGAAUUGUUGUAUUCAUUUGAUGGGUAUAGACUGUAAGUCAUGUCCCUUUGAUGCACGCUCAUAAGAUCUCAAAUGCUGAAAUAUCUUUUCAUUGGUUGUAAACGUUUUUGCCACAUUUUUGUUGUUGUUGCUGUCUUUAAUUUAGAGAUGAAUUCUGAUGGACCUUUAUAAAAUGGCACUAUAGUUGGUAAAGUUAAGUCAUAAGCUAUCUAAGCAGGAUGAUACAUAAAAUAGGCUACCUCUUAAUGAAUAACCCCUGUUUGAGUAAUAUCCUAUCACCUGAAGAGAUAUAUUAAUAAUGUAAGAAUAUUCUGUCAAUUUGCUACUAUGCCAAAUAGGCUACGUUACAAAAGUGAGAUAAACGUCUGAAACGCCAGUUCAUCCAAGCCAUUACGUAGGCGCUACCUAUCACGUAUAUAUCGAAUGAUCUUCACUUCUGUCAAAGAAUGCAAAUGGUUGAAUGAUGACUUGUCAAAAGUCAAUCGUUUUUUCCUACUGUGCACAUUUUGCUGAGCACAUUGCAUUGGUAAAAUGUUCUAAGGCAUUUGUGGUUUGUUCAUAUUUCAUGUUUAGUUUACAUGUCGGUGCAGGCAUACAGCUAAUAGACUAUGGCGACAGCGGGGUGUCUUCCAGGCAAGAAUAUCCCAGGAUACACUGUUGUGAGACGCUCUGUCUGGAUUGCAGGCUGACGCACUGUACAUCAAAAUGCCCAACAACAAGUCUACAUUUUUCCACAGUCGUGACAUCGCGCAAAGGAGACGCAUAUUCUCUCAAUAAUCAUGUUCGAGAUGUCAUUGUGGCUCACAAAUGUACAGUGCAACGGAAUAAAAUGUUAGAAAUUCA